CCUACGGGAUGCAGCAGUGGGGAAUAUUGCACAAUGGGCGCAAGCCUGAUGCAGCCAUGCCGCGUGUGUGAAGAAGGCCUUCGGGUUGUAAAGCACUUUCAGCGAGGAGGAAGGUGGUGAGCUUAAUACGCUCAUCAAUUGACGUUACUCGCAGAAGAAGCACCGGCUAACUCCGUGCCAACAGCCGCGGUAAUACGGAGGGUGCAAGCGUUAAUCGGAAUUACUGGGCGUAAAGCGCACGCAGGCGGUCUGUCAAGUCGGAUGUGAAAUCCCCGGGCUCAACCUGGGAACUGCAUUCGAAACUGGCAGGCUAGAGUCUUGUAGAGGGGGGUAGAAUUCCAGGUGUAGCGGUGAAAUGCGUAGAGAUCUGGAGGAAUACCGGUGGCGAAGGCGGCCCCCUGGACGAAGACUGACGCUCAGGUGCGAAAGCGUGGGGAGCCAACAGGAUUAGAUACCCUAGUAGUC
rnacentral:rRNA from 1 species